UACGUAGGGACCAAGCGUUGUUCGGAUUUACUGGGCGUAAAGGGCGCGUAGGCGGCAAUUCAAGUCAUCUGUGAAAUCUCCGGGCUUAACUCGGAAAGGUCAGCCGAUACUGCGGGGCUAGAGUGCAGAAGGGGCAACUGGAAUUCUCGGUGUAGCGGUGAAAUGCGUAGAUAUCGAGAGGAACACCUGCGGCGAAGGCGGGUUGCUGGGCUGACACUGACGCUGAUGCGCGAAAGCUAGGGGGAGCGAACGGG
rnacentral:rRNA from 1 species